rnacentral:rRNA from 1 species
GAUCCUAGCUCAGGAUGAACGCUGGCGGCGUGCUUAACACAUGCAAGUCGAGCGAAGCACUUAGGAAAGAUUCUUCGGAUGAUUUCCUAUUUGACUGAGCGGCGGACGGGUGAGUAACGCGUGGGUAAUCUGCCUCAUACAGGGGGAUAACAGUUAGAAAUGACUGCUAAUACCGCAUAAGACCACAGCACCGCAUGGUGCAGGGGUAAAAACUCCGGUGGUAUGAGAUGGACCCGCG